rnacentral:rRNA from 1 species
GUCGAACGAUGAAGCCUAGCUUGCUGGGUGGAUUAGUGGCGAACGGGUGAGUAACACGUGAGUAACCUGCCCUUGACUCUGGGAUAAGCACUGGAAACGGUGUCUAAUACCGGAUAUUUCAGCUGGCCGCAUGGUCUGGUUGUGGAAAGAAUUUUGGUCAAGGAUGGACUCGCGGCCUAUCAGGUUGUUGGUGAGGUAAUGGCUCACCAAGCCUACGACGGGUAGCCGGCCUGAGAGGGUGACCGGCCACACUGGGACUGAGACACGGCCCAGACUCCUACGGGAGGCAGCAGUGGGGAAUAUUGCACAAUGGGCGAAAGCCUGAUGCAGCAACGCCGCGUGAGGGACGACGGCCUUCGGGUUGUAAACCUCUUUUAGUAGGGAAGAAGCGAAAGUGACGGUACCUGCAGAAAAAGCACCGGCUAACUACGUGCCAGCAGCCGCGGUAAUACGUAGGGUGCAAGCGUUGUCCGGAAUUAUUGGGCGUAAAGAGCUCGUAGGCGGUUUGUCGCGUCUGCUGUGAAAACUGGAGGCUCAACCUCCAGCCUGCAGUGGGUACGGGCAGACUAGAGUGCGGUAGGGGAGAUUGGAAUUCCUGGUGUAGCGGUGGAAUGCGCAGAUAUCAGGAGGAACACCGAUGGCGAAGGCAGAUCUCUGGGCCGUAACUGACGCUGAGGAGCGAAAGCAUGGGGAGCGAACAGGAUUAGAUACCCUGGUAGUCCAUGCCGUAAACGUUGGGAACUAGAUGUGGGGGCCAUUCCACGGUCUCCGUGUCGCAGCUAACGCAUUAAGUUCCCCGCCUGGGGAGUACGGCCGCAAGGCUAAAACUCAAAGGAAUUGACGGGGGCCCGCACAAGCGGCGGAGCAUGCGGAUUAAUUCGAUGCAACGCGAAGAACCUUACCAAGGCUUGACAUAUACGAGAACGGGCCAGAAAUGGUCAACUCUUUGGACACUCGUAAACAGGUGGUUGCAUGGGUUGUCGUCAGCUCGUGUCGUGAGAUGUUGGGUUAAGUCCCGCAACGAGCGCAACCCUCGUUCUAUGUUGCCAGCACGUUAUGGUGGGAACUCAUAGGAGACUGCCGGGGUCAACUCGGAGGAAGGUGGGGAUGACGUCAAAUCAUCAUGCCCCUUAUGUCCAGGGCUUCACACAUGCUACAAUGGUCGGUACAGUGGGUUGCGAUACCGUGAGGUGGAGCUAAUCCCUUAAAGCCGGUCUCAGUUCGGAUUGGAGUCUGCAACUCGACUCCAUGAAGUCGGAGUCGCUAGUAAUCGCAGAUCAGC